GAUGAACGCUAGCGGCAGGCUUAAUACAUGCAAGUCGAGGGGCAGCGCAGUGUAGCAAUACAUGGGCGGCGACCGGCAAACGGGUGCGUAACACGUACGCAACCUUCCCGUUACUGUGGGAUAGCCCAGGGAAACUUGGAUUAAUACCACAUAUUGCCAUUGAGAGGCAUCUCUUGAUGGCCAAAGAAUUUCGGUAACGGAUGGGCGUGCGGUUGAUUAGGUAGUUGGCGGGGUAACGGCCCACCAAGCCUACGAUCAAUAGCUGAUGUGAGAGCAUGAUCAGCCACACGGGCACUGAGACACGGGCCCGACUCCUACGGGAGGCAGCAGUAAGGAAUAUUGGGCAAUGGACGAAAGUCUGACCCAGCCAUGCCGCGUGAAGGAUGAAGGUCCUCUGGAUUGUAAACUUCUUUUUCUGGGUAGAAAUGCACUUUUUCUAAAGUGUUUGACGGUACCAGAAGAAUAAGCACCGGCUAACUCCGUGCCAGCAGCCG
rnacentral:rRNA from 1 species